rnacentral:lncRNA from 1 species
GAAAAUCCUUGGUAGGGGGAACCUGGAAUAUUAUUUCUUUCACAGAGUCUGAGUACUAUCCCAGAUUAUAAAUUCGUGUUCCUCCUUUGUUUUCCCUGGUACUUACUACAAGACAAAUAAAAUAUGCAACUUUUAUUCUUGCUUUAUUCUUCCCUAUAAAUAUUUGAUUAGGCCACAAUGUAUUGUGCUAAUAAGCCUUACUAGCUUAUAAGGACUUGUUUUUCAGGUCAUCCUCUAAGAAGGCCUAACCACAUCCAAGGGAGUGCUGUAGCCAGACAUCAGAUCCAAAGAAGAAAAACGUGCCUGGUCUGAGAAGGACAGCUCUCAGCUUUCUAAGCUUAAAAAGGAGGGGACGGGAACCUUCACCACAGCAGAAUCACCACUGGUUGCAUGUGAAAGACUGCCGUGGAAGAUCUGUGGUUUGGAGCCAGGUGUCCCGUGCUCGAGCUCGUGGGAGCGCACUCCUGUUACCACCGGCGAUAAGGAGCUGCAUGUUUUAUUUAUACGAUGAACACAAGGAAUACAAGGCCCAUAUUGGAAAAAAAACAGGAAGACACACUGUAUGA